rnacentral:lncRNA from 1 species
GCCAGGCUUUGUGCUGUAAUGAGCAUCACAGGCAGCACCUGCUUCUGGGCCAGAACCAUCAUGUGCCUUUCAUUACCAUCAUAAGUCAUUGUCGGCACACACUGUUACAGGACCAAAGCGUAAAAGAUCAGGAUUGGUGGCCUCAUUUUUGGUGUGUGCUGAAGCCAGUGAGCCACCACCCUGUUCCUGAUGCAGUGUAAACCUGUGCUUCAGCACAGCUGGGUGCCAGGCCAAGGGGUGACCUCCUGGAGCUGCUUUCUUCCACAUCAUAUGACCACAUCACCAACGGCUCUUCUCUAGAUGUUACGAGAGGACGCUUAAUUAGCUUGCAAGAGCCCUAGGAAAUGUCCCACCCACAAGAGGAAAGGAUAACUCGUGAUAGCCUCUGCACACUCCAGUGUGUUGGGCAGUGCUUUCCUCCUCCUCUCCCUCCCUCUCAGUUGUUAUCUCUGAGCCAGACUUCUCUGACCUGGGAAAUCUCAUCAGAAGAGUGCUGA